AGUACCGUGAGGGAAAGGCGAAAAGAACCCCGGCGAGGGGAGUGAAAAAGAACCUGAAACCGUGUACGUACAAGCAGUGGGAGCCCCACCACUAAGCCAGUGGUGAACUCCACAUACGCAUCCUUUGCUGAGGAUACGGUUAACGGAGCGAAAGCGACGUUCAACCUCAAAAGAAGCAGAGGGGGCUUAGUGGUGGGGUGACUGCGUACCUUUUGUAUAAUGGGUCAGCGACUUAUAUUCUGUAGCAAGGUUAACCGAAUAGGGGAGCCGGAGGGAAACCGAGUCUUAAUUGGGCGUUAAGUUGCAGGGUAUAGACCCGAAACCCGGUGAUCUAGCCAUGGGCAGGUUGAAGGUUGGGUAACACUAACUGGAGGACCGAACCGACUAAUGUUGAAAAAUUAGCGGAUGACCUGUGGCUGGGGGUGAAAGGCCAAUCAAACCGGGAGAUAGCUGGUUCUCCCCGAAAGCUAUUUAGGUAGCGCCUCGUGAAUUCAUCUCCGGGGGUAGAGCACUGUUUCGGCUAGGGGGUCAUCCCGACUUACCAACCCGAUGCAAACUGCGAAUACCGGAGAAUGUUAUCACGGGAGACACACGGCGGGUGCUAACGUCCGUCGUGAAGAGGGAAACAACCCAGACCGCCAGCUAAGGUCCCAAAGUCAUGGUUAAGUGGGAAACGAUGUGGGAAGGCCCAGACAGCCAGGAUGUUGGCUUAGAAGCAGCCAUCAUUUAAAGAAAGCGUAAUAGCUCACUGGUCGAGUCGGCCUGCGCGGAAGAUGUAACGGGGCUAAACCAUGCACCGAAGCUGCGGCAGCGAACGUAUCACUUAAAGCGAUUCAGCGGAUUACGAUUGACGGAGCGAAGCGACGUCAAAGCGUAUACAAAGUCGAGUCGGUUUAAGGAUACGUUCGUUGGGUAGGGGAGCGUUCUGUAAGCCUGCGAAGGUGGCCUGUGAGGGUUGCUGGAGGUAUCAGAAGUGCGAAUGCUGACAUAAGUAACGAUAAUGCGGGUGAAAAACCCGCACGCCGGAAGACCAAGGGUUCCUGUCCAACGUUAAUCGGGGCAGGGUGAGUCGACCCCUAAGGCGAGGCCGAAAGGCGUAGUCGAUGGGAAACAGGUUAAUAUUCC
rnacentral:rRNA from 1 species